GAACAUUAAAAGCUAUUCUAUAUAUUCAAAAUAUCAUGUAGAGAGAGAUUAGCAUGGCCCCUGCACAAGGAUAACACGCAAAUUUGAGAAACGUUCCAUACUUUU
rnacentral:snRNA from 1 species